rnacentral:rRNA from 1 species
GAUGAACGCUGGCGGCGUGCCUAAUACAUGCAAGUCGAGCGAACGGACGAGAAGCUUGCUUCUCUGAUGUUAGCGGCGGACGGGUGAGUAACACGUGGAUAACCUACCUAUAAGACUGGGAUAACUUCGGGAAACCGGAGCUAAUACCGGAUAAUAUUUUGAACCGCAUGGUUCAAAAGUGAAAGACGGUCUUGCUGUCACUUAUAGAUGGAUCCGCGCUGCAUUAGCUAGUUGGUAAGGUAACGGCUUACCAAGGCAACGAUGCAUAGCCGACCUGAGAGGGUGAUCGGCCAGGCUGGAACUGAGACACGGUCCAGACUCCUACGGGAGGCAGCAGUAGGGAAUCUUACGCAAUGGGCGAAAGCCUGACGGAGCAACGCCGCGUGAGUGAUGAGGGUCUUCGGAUCGUAAAACUCUGUUAUUAGGGAAGAACAUAUGUGUAAGUAACUGUGCACAUCUUGACGGUACCUAAUCGGAAAGCAACGGCUAACUACGUG